UUGUUUGAUGGCUGAGCAGUAGGCGGUAGACUGUAGAUCUAUUAACGGAGUUAAUUCUCCUCAACAAAG
rnacentral:tRNA from 1 species